rnacentral:lncRNA from 1 species
ACAACUGUAUUUGUAAUUGAAACUUCACUAAGCUUCUUCUAGUUAAACUCUACAAGAUGCUUCUCGAAGUCUUGUAGCGUCCCCGAAUCCGGGUCCCGAAUCGUCGCGGAUCCGGUUUGCUAUUUCUACAACUGUUGCGGAAGAUAUAAACAUAAAUUGUUUAUACAUUAAACUUUACACACUAUUCCCAAAAUCGAGUAACCUUAACUAAUACACAAUCGUGAACUGUCUAACACAUGACAAUAUUAUUCUUCAACAUACUUUACAACUUAACUUCACAUUUUAUCCCAAGCUGAACUUGGCAUUAUCCUUUUUCCAGUAUCUGGUCGUAUUCGCCUUAUCUGCAAUGUUUUAUCAUGAUAUAGCAAGGGUGAGCAUGAAAGUUGCCCAACAAGUUUAAAAAAAACAAGGUAAAGAUAUAUCAUGAUUGAAAGAGUUUGAAUAAUAAGCUGGCUAUCN